ACCGCAUUUUCUUCUCCACCCACCCCCCAUUCUCUCUCGCCUCUCCUAGGGUUGCCGCCGCCACCACCACACUCGCCGCCACCACGACUCCCUCCCCUCUUGUCGCCGCCGCCUCCUCUCCUCCUCCCUGAUUCUCCUGACGACCCCGCGGCCCCCGUCCUUCCUCCUCGCCUCUUCUCACCCCCCUCCUCUGCCCAGUGAUGGUGGCCGCUCCUCCGCUGGCCCAUCUCCGUCGCCAGCCUCCUCGUCUCUCCCACGCCACCGACUAGAGCCAUGUGUGACAUCGUCGCCAUCGCCUAGCGCCUAGAGAUGGGCGAGGACGCCGGUCGGAAGCAGCAGCAGCAACAGCUAGAUGGCAGGAAACAACAGCUCGCCUAUUCAUAGGGUUGAAUCUCUGCACGGGCGUCCGUCUGUGCUGUGCGUGGGCUGCCUGCUGCCGGUGGCGUGCGUCUGGUGUCCAUGCUGCUGGAGGCGUUCGUGUGUGCUAGCUGUGUGGUGUGCGCGUGUUGUGCUUGUGCUGGUGUGCAUGGUUGAGUGCGUGUUUUGUGUUGGCGCUUCUAAUUAACUAGCGUAUUCUAUUGACUUGAAUUUGGCCCGGCUGAAAUAAGGAUCAGAGAAAUCAAGUCAGUAGCCGCAGCGUCUAAUUGAGAGCGGAUAAUCCCUUAGGACACACUACUCAUGCCGUCGGGUGGGGGAUAAGUACUACUCCAUGCAAUGUGUUUCUGACUAAUUAAUCCAGGGAUCAAGUCGGCCUAGAGCUUGCACGGCUUCAGUGGCUGACACACGCUGUGGAUUUUUUGAUCUUUUGAUUAAAAUUUUCCUGUAGCAGCUGAAAGGAACAAGGUGACUGGGAAGUACUGGGCUACAUACCUUCCUUUCCUUGAUUUUCCUUCCAAAAUCUAAGCUUUUACUGGAAACCUUGCUAUCCUUGUGCUUUACCAGUGUGAAGUUCAGCACUAUGGCUGCCAUUAUGUGUUGUCUAAUGGUGUGGUGGUCAGGAGUCAUGUGUGAUAUAGUUAUCAUUCCCUUGUAUGUCAGGCUCUCCUUGAGCUAAUUAUAUGAAAAUUCAGGAAGAUGCCCGGGUUCUCGUCAAAUGCAAGCUGCACUACUGUCAAAAGGUGUGCUCUAUUUUGCAUAGUCGUAACUUAGUGAAAGCAAGUGUGCUCUUGUCUAUGGGCAAAUGAAUGAGGUCCGGGGUUGUCGUGCUCGUGUAGAUCUGACUGGUUUUUCUGUUGGUGAACAUUUUUGUGACGCCAAAGGAUAAGAUGUGCUUCUGUUUAUUGAUUUUCCAUUUCACCCAGGCGAACUCUGAGGUGUAUGCUUCUGUAUUCGGAUCAUAUAGUAUCAGAUGGCCUCCCAAGAAGCCAUUAGCUAUUAUGAGGUGUUAAAGAUAGUUAGGUAAUUAGUUAAAAUAAUUACACAUGGUAAUUAAGCAAUAACAUAUGCUAUGAACUGACUUAGUGAAAUCCAUUUAUUUUUGGGUACUUAGUUAAUCCAUGUUUUUCUGCCUUUAGUCAUUAUUGAGGUCUAAUCUUUUCAUCUUUGCAUUUUCAAAUCUGCUUGACAAGUAAGGAAAAAGCUUAUAGGUUAAAUAAUGUGUUCAAGUGUUGAUCCCUUUAUAUUGACCUAGGAAGUGAAGAUUGGACUAUAUGAAGUGGUCAUGGCAUUGUGCUUCAGGUUUGCUCCACCAGAUAUUCCCAAUAUGGCCGCUACACAUAGCCAAGUUAUGUACAGCUACUGGAGGGUGCGAUUGGCUAUGUUGAUGUGCUUGUUUUUCCUAUAUGCAGUUCCUACUGUACAGAAAGCAAAAGAAGCUGCUUUGUGGCGUAUGAUGCAGACUAGGACACUGAGGAAAGUUCUGUGCAUGGUGAAAAUGUUGUGAUAGAACUCAUCGGCACAUCAGAAGAGGAUGUUGUUAUCUGCAAUAGCAACGGUGAGCACAGAACCCACAUCAAACAUCAUACUCACCCUGCUUAUGUUUUAUGCUAACAAUUGGUACGCGUGCUUCACUAUUUGUUGGUGCCGUGCGGUCACAACAAGGAGCCUCGCACCUGAGCCUCUCCUUCCGCCUUUCGCCCAAGAGGACCUAGAAUCUUUGGCAAGAAACCAAAAUCAGAUCACCAUCUCCACUACAUCAUUUGUGGUUGGCCUGGUGAGCACUAUCCAGGAGGAUUUGAUAAUCAUUGUGAAUGGGGGAACGAGGUGAAGCACUAUCAAUAGCAUGUUGACAAGCGCCUGAUCGCCGCAAAAGAACAUACCAUUCCAUAGUAUAUCUGCUGCAUAAACAAGACAUUUGCAAGCCCGGGCUAGUGGAUGGUGACUAUCUCCACACUUGAUCUUCUAUAUGAUGGUGUCAGAGGAUCAGUCUUCUGCGACACCCGGGACAUGCUCUACAUCGAGGAGUACGAUGGCAAGCCGGCGAUGGCAUGACGAGCAGACGCUCGAGCAGGUGAGCGUCCACUCAGUGGGGGUGGUGGAGGGCGGUAACAGUAAUAAGAGUUGUCAUGCUAUCAGGUUAGGUAUUUCCUGUGCUAUAAAUACAAACAUGUGCUACACUACCUUUGGACCAAUUGUAAUGGGUGGUUCUUCUUAUCUCUACAAUCAUUUUAAGUUGAUCUGAAUUUAUAAUUUCUCCGUUGCAACACAUGCCUAACAUACUUUAUACAUGCGCACUAAGUAACCAGAUCCUUGCUUUCCUAACAAUUUCAAUCUGUGAUAGAACAUCAGCUCGUAUAACUUGAUUAUUUCCGGGAACUCGUCCAUGUGACUUACUAUGCAUAUGAAUAGCAUGAAGUUAAGGUGAACAAACUGAAACCACGAUCAGUGUAUCACCACCUGCCAGUGAAGCUCCGUUUUACUAUAUUCAAACCAUGGCAAUGGAUUAGAAAAUGGAUCAACUCUAUCACACUUGAUUACUGCAUUCCAAAGGCCAAACACUACAGAAAAGGAUUUUCAUUUAUGGAAAACAGUACUCUUGUACUGCAUAUAUUCAUAAAUCUAUAGAAAAGGUUUUGACUGUUAAGUACAACAAAACAUAAUCUGAAUUGAUUUGCCUAGCAGUAUUGUGUAUGUCUUGGUGAAGAUUGAUUUGCUAUCAGCUUAUUUUUCAGUUGGCUACACAGACAACAAAAAAUACAUUUAAAGGGGUGCCUCCUACCUGGUACAUCAACAAGAAGUUCAGCAACCAGUACAAGGCGAUGAACGGAGGAACACCUGGUGGCAUCCGGUACUUUGGUGAGCUUGAAGACCACUGUUACUGGGGUAAUAAGGUGAAGCUCUAUGAAUGCCAUGUGGACACUCUUUUUUAUGUUCUGGUUUAGUACUACGUGUGCACAAUCAACAAAACAUCUGCCAAGCCAGGCAAGCGCAUGACUUGCAAAUGGUCGUCUGCGCGUCGAAUAUCACAUUAUGCUAGGAGCUGACAAGAGGGCCAUUAUAACCACCAACUGGUCCAAGUUUCGUCGCCGUGCGAACAUUCGUGAAGGAGACAUCUGCGCUUUUCGUUUCGAGGUCACUUCAAACCGCCGGCUGGUUCUCACUGUGCACCCCCUCUAGAUGCACCAUCGAAAACACCGCAAGUGUGUCAAUAUAAUCUAGCACUAAGUACUCCUAAUUAUGUUAUUUCCCAUAAUGAACCUAUGGUUUGCUUUUGGACCCUGCUAUCCGAUACUUUUGAAGAUACUAAACCUAUGCCGUUGCUUAUGUAAACUGUACUGUUCUCAGUCAGAUCACAUCCACCUAUUAAGAUCCAUAUUAGGGCUUCUCUGUAUAUAUCUAUUUAUUUCUACUGCUAUUCUGUGCUUCAAAUCUCAAUUUAUUAAUUAAGACCAUCAUCACAUAUGCUAAUCAGAUCAGAAAA